UUAAAAAUUUACUUUCCAUAUACUUCUAGAACAGAAAAUUGAUAGUUUCACCAAAAUAAAGGACUACAUCGAGAAAGAUGAAGAAAGGGAAUACAGGAAGAAAGGAAACCAACACAAGAGGAGGAGGAAGGAAUCCCUAGAAUGAGGUUGAAGGUUCAGAAAAGAGAACAAAUUUAAGCAGAUCAGGAGAUUUACUGACUGCCAAAAUCACCGUGUCAAUCAUGUAUCACCGAGCAAGUCGGAGGAGGAACACAAAUACGAGGACACGGUUCCUGAACCCGAGCGGCUCGGGUGGAGAACGACACCUAAAAUGAAAGAAGCUAGGCAUUUUCCUGCAACCUGGA